CUCCAGCAUAAGAAAAAGCAAUAAUUUAUAAUUGUGCAGUGGACUCGCCCGGAGCGGUGACGUCACAUCAAGGCUGGGGACUAUCUCCUCUCCGCGGACCAACACACGGGGGCGGAGGAGGGGACCUUGCCUCUCGCGCGGUGAUGCGGCCGCGCCGGCAGCUCGCCUCAACUCAAAUCACUCCGCGCCUCGGCUGGCCGUCACCUUCGGUUCCCGGCACGCGAAAAAGAUGGCUGCAAUCCGCAAGAAGCUGGUGAUCGUGGGCGACGGCGCUUGCGGCAAGACGUGUCUGCUCAUCGUGUUCAGCAAGGACCAGUUCCCCGAGGUGUAUGUGCCCACCGUGUUCGAGAACUACGUGGCCGACAUCGAAGUGGACGGCAAGCAGGUGGAGCUGGCGCUGUGGGACACGGCCGGGCAAGAGGACUACGACCGCUUGCGGCCCCUCAGCUACCCGGACACCGAUGUCAUCCUCAUGUGCUUCAGCAUCGACAGCCCCGACAGCCUCGAGAACAUCCCCGAGAAGUGGACGCCAGAGGUGAAGCACUUCUGCCCCAACGUGCCCAUCAUCCUGGUCGGCAACAAGAAGGACCUGCGCAAUGACGAGAACACGCGCAGGGAACUGGCCAAGACGAAGCAGGUGCCCGUGACGACGGAGGAAGGGCGCGACAUGGCCAAUCGCAUCAACGGCUUCGGCUACAUGGAGUGCUCCGCCAAGACCAAGGACGGUGUGCGCGAGGUGUUUGAGAUGGCCACGCGCGCCGCCCUGCAGGUGCGCAAGCGCAGGAAACGGCAGGCGUGCUCCCUGCUGUAAGGUGGAGAGAGGGGAGGUCUCCACUCACGCCACCUCCACCAAGGUCUACGGCGGCCACCACCACCACCACCGCCGCCGCCGCCGUAUUGCCGAAGCCUCAUCUGUGCAUAAGCUCUGAACCUGGGGUGCAAAAGUUCACUCUUAUCGAAAGCUGCGUUAGGAGUAGCUUUUUUUUUAUUUUAAGGACGUGGAAAAAAUCGUGCUUUGUUGCUAGAUGACCGAAGAACGCUCGUUUCGCAUUCGGUGUUGAAUAGGACUCCGUCUUGGAACGAUGCGACACGUCCGCCUGACGCUAAAGCCAGAAUAGCUCUCUUAGGCGGUCAUCUCCUCUUAAAGCCUGGGCUGGGGUAACAGCCCUUCAAUAGAACAGCACUCCGGAGCGCCCUGCGCAUUGAUGGGCAGUACCCCUGGUCGCGGCAUCUAUUGCACACAACUGGUUGCGUUUGUUUAGAACGCAAUUUUUUUUUUAUAUAUAUAUACACGUGUACAACUGGAUUAUGUUUCUUACCUGCGGCAAAUUUUGCUGCAUAUUUUCAAAGCGCACCAUCUCAUCUUAAAUUGUAAGCCAAAAUAUCCUCCAUUCAAAUGAGCUUCGGGGCCACGCGCAUUGAGGCGGCCCAAAACCCAUCGACCGUAGAUUCACAUUUCGAUGCCGGGAGGGGCCAAUAACACCAUGGACUGACCACUGUUGACUUCCCAUUAAGUAGUACUCAUUGGGGUAUCACCCACAGAUGAAUGAAGCAUGUGAAACUGUUCUUGUGCUUCGAGGAUGAAUAUACGAUUCAAUGUAGAGUGCUGAAUAUGUCUGCUGUAGCACAAAGGGGGAUGAUGAUGAUGUACCCAAACACCACUGUAAUCCGCGUGUUUUCCCCAAUAUAAUUAUCAUUGAAACCGCACAAAUUAACAGCACUUAGGUCGUUAGUGUAAAGAUGGCUCAUGCCAAAUCCAGUUCCUGCGACUUAGGGGCCAUCCAUAAAUGACGUCACGCACCUGGGGGGGGGGGG